GUAUAUUUUUCUAGCUUAGUUGGUAGAGCAUGAGACUCUUAAUCUCAGGGUCAUGGGUUCAAGCCCCACAUUGGACG